UACGGAGGGUGCGAGCGUUAAUCGGAAUCACUGGGCGUAAAGCGUGCGUAGGCGGUUCGUUAAGUCGGAUGUGAAAGCCCCGGGCUUAACCCGGGAAUUGCAUUCGAUACUGGCGGACUGGAGUGUGGUAGAGGGUAGUGGAAUUCCCGGUGUAGCGGUGAAAUGCGUAGAUAUUGGGAAGAACACCAGUGGCGAAGGCGGCUCUCUGGUCCGGUUCUGACACUAAGGCGCGAAAGCGUGGGGAGCAAACAGG
rnacentral:rRNA from 1 species